rnacentral:rRNA from 1 species
GUGGGGAAUAUUGGACAAUGGGCGAAAGCCUGAUCCAGCCAUGCCGCGUGUGUGAAGAAGGUCUUCGGAUUGUAAAGCACUUUAAGUUGGGAGGAAGGGCAGUAAGUUAAUACCUUGCUGUUUUGACGUUACCGACAGAAUAAGCACCGGCUAACUUCGUGCCAGCAGCCGCGGUAAUACGAAGGGUGCAAGCGUUAAUCGGAAUUACUGGGCGUAAAGCGCGCGUAGGUGGUUUUGUAAGUUGGAGGUGAAAUCCCCGGGCUCAACCUGGGAACUGCCUCCAAAACUGCAUGACUAGAGUACGGUAGAGGGUAGUGGAAUUUCCUGUGUAGCGGUGAAAUGCGUAGAUAUAGGAAGGAACACCAGUGGCGAAGGCGACUACCUGGACUGAUACUGACACUGAGGUACGAAAGCGUGGGGAGCAAACAGGAUUAGAAACCCCUGUAGUCC